rnacentral:rRNA from 1 species
UACGUAGGGGGCAAGCGUUGUCCGGAUUCAUUGGGCGUAAAGAGCGUGUAGGCGGCCAGGUAGGUCGGUUGUGAAAACUGGAGGCUCAACCUUCAGACGUCGACCGAAACCAUCUGGCUAGAGUCCGGGAGAGGAGAGUGGAAUUCCUGGUGUAGCGGUGAAAUGCGCAGAUAUCAGGAGGAACACCGGUGGCGAAGGCGGAUCUCUGGGCCAUUACUGACGCUGAGGAGCGAAAGCGUGGGGAGCGAACAGG